AUGAAGUUUGUUUUUGUGUUCCACAGAAAGGAUCACACUAUUUGGGUUUGUAAUGUCAUGAAGCUCCAAUUACAGCCCUCCUGGUGGAUAUGCACAGAAAGCUGUCUAGACCCUCCCCUGACAACAGGCCUCCUGCUGUCGGCACAUUGCCAAACCUGCAAAAAGCAGCGUUUUACUGACAGAAACCACAGGGUGCUAUACUAAAUGAUGCCAGGUAUGUUCCUGUGUCAAAGGUCUUAUAAUUCAGCAUCUUCACUUUAAUUAUCCCCUUGUUGAACGUCAGUAUUUUACAAACGAUUGUGAAGGCGAGUGACUGGUGAUUGCAAUUACACUGGAGGCUUCUGCCAUUUGAACCCCCUUUACUCUAUGGAUAUUGUGUUAGAUUAACAGCACAAAUGAUCAUGUGCUUCCAGAACAUCUGAGACCUUUGAAGUGAAGCUGCACCUGGACAUUUUUCCCUUCCAUCAUUUUAAGCAGCCAUUAUUCCAGUCUUCAGUGUCACAUUAUCCUUUACUACUCAAGAAACAUUUCAUGUUUUUCACGGUAGAAAAAGCUUGUACUCCUUAAUUAAGAGUGGAAACCACAAUGGUGUAAUAUAUAAUUUAUUUUUUUAGUUAGUUAAAGUUAAUGCAUAAAAGUAACAAUUUAUAAAAACACUGACUCCAAACUUUUGACUGGUAGGUGAUAUAUGUAUUUCUAUAUUUGGGACCGGAGACUAGCUCUUACUUAAGGGGGAACUUCAGCUCAGCUGUACCCUUCAAAUGUCAAUUUGACGUCAUCUACAUAAUUUGCAUGUAUUCCUGUUUUUCCCCAGAUCAUACACAGUGCUCUUUUUUUUAUAGGCUGGGUUUAAAAGAGCACUUUAUAUCCAAUUUUAGUCACUCAUAGCCCAGACCCUAAAAGAGGUCUAAUGGGGACAAACGUAUCAACUAAUUUCUGUUUUCAGCAAAUCCAGCUUGCAGACAGUGAGUCCAACCUUCCUCUCCAAUAAUGUACUAUCAGACUGCCUGACUGCCACAGCCGUAAUGGGGCGAGCAUACAGAGCGAUAAUUUAUGGAGUCGUAGUUCCGGCUGGAGAUGUGAUUUUCUUAGUGCAACGGCAGAGUACAUUCCAAGUGAUGUUUUGCAUGCUGAGGCGGACCCGAUGACCUCAUUAAAACCUGUCAGAGAUAGAUCUGAUGGAGGAAGGUUACCGUGGAUACGGUGACGCAGUCUGCCUCAAAAGGCCCUGUGAUUACCGAGUGAAAUAUAGCUGAGCACCCUUCCCAUUCUUCUCCUACAAAGGCACAGAAUGAAAAUCUGUUGAAAAAAAGGGCUGAAUCUAUGAUUAAGGAGAAGUUCUCUCUCAGAGAUGGUGAAUUUUUUUUUUUUUUUUAGCUGAUAAGACAUGGGGAAUUGACAACAUGUUCUUAAAGGAAUAGUUCACCCCAAAAUUAAAAUUUAUUCCCCCUCAGGCCAUACAAGAUAUAGAUAAGUGUCAGUUUUUUCUUCAUUGGAACAGGUUUGGAGAAAUGUAGCAUUACAUCACUUCAGUGGAUCCUCUGCAGUGAAUGGGUGCCGUCAGAAUAAGAGUACAAACAGCUGAUAAAAACAUCACAAUGAUCCACAAGUAAUCGUCACAAUUCCAGUCCAUCGUGUGUGGAUUACUUGUGGAUUACUGUGAUGUUUUUAUCAGCUGUUUGAACUCUCAUUCUGACGGCACCCAUUCACUGCAAAGGAUCUAUUGGUGAGCAAAUUAUGUUAUGGAAAAUUUCUCAAAAUUUCUUCAGGUGAAGAAACAAACAAACUCAUCUACAUCUUGGAUGACCCGAGGGUGAGUAAAUUUAACUAAAUGUCAUUUUCAGGUGAACUAUUCUAAUUAAUAAACUAAUGAAUUUAUUCUAAUAAAUACGUUUCAAAGUACUGCUCUAAAUGAUGCUUGGCACAGUCAACUGAAUCUAUGU
ensembl:lncRNA